GCAUAUCAAUAAGCGGAGGAAAAGAAACCAACAGGGAUUGCCUUAGUAACGGCGAGUGAAGCGGCAACAGCUCAAAUUUGAAAUCUGGCCCUUGGGUCCGAAUUGUAAUUUGUAGAGGAUGAUUUUGGUGCGGUAUCUUCCGAGUUCCUUGGAACAGGACGCCUUAGAGGGUGAGAGCCCCGUACGGUUGAAUGCCUAGCCUCUGUAAAUCUCCUUCGACGAGUCGAGUAGUUUGGGAAUGCUGCUCUAAAUGGGAGGUAAAUUUCUUCUAAAGCUAAAUAUUGGCCAGAGACCGAUAGCGCACAAGUAGAGUGAUCGAAAGAUGAAAAGCACUUUGAAAAGAGGGUUAAAUAGCACGUGAAAUUGUUGAAAGGGAAGGAUUUGUGACCAGACUUUUUCUGGGCGGAUCAUCCGGGGUUCUCUCCGGUGCACUUCGCCCAGUAAAGGCCAGCAUCGGUUUUCGGCGUGGGAUAAAAGCAGUAGGAAUGUGGCUCUCUACGGGGAGUGUUAUAGCCUAUUGUAUAAUACCGCGCUGGGGACCGAGGUUCGCGCUUCUGCAAGGAUGCUGGCGUAAUGGUUAUCAAUCACCCGUCUUGAAACACGGACC
rnacentral:rRNA from 1 species